CCAAUACUUUUAUAGAACUUUGAUUCUAAAUUAUCUGCGUUAACAAAUGGUGAAACUUUUAUUUACGCUAAGGGAGGUUUUUGUUUGGAUACCACUGUCAUUUAUUAGACUGAAGGAAGGGACUUUUGAGUCCCUUUUAAGAUGUCUUAGUGCAAGCAUAUGAAGAGUGGUUAUAUGGUGUAAUUCUGGUUACUAAAGGUGACCCCAAAAAAACCAAAUAAAAGUAAUAAAAAAAAAGCAAGGACAAAAUAAACUUGUUAUUUGUAGUCUUAACGGGAUAAAGGCCGGAGAUUUCCCACUGGGCUGUGGACAUCGUACAAAUGCCAAGGUUCCCAAACCUUUAUAAAGAAAAGAAAAAUCCUGCAAGACACUCAGGAUGUGUUAAUCAUGCAUCGCAAACAAGGUAACAGCAUUCCCUAAUACUGCUCUCCGCACGCUAAUGUGUCCUGCGCAGUCUAACCAUCCAUGAUCGUUCCUUCAGUAUUGGCAUCAUGGGCUCCUGAGCUCCUGCCUGCUGGUUUGUGGUAACAAUCUGGUUAAACUGCGCAGGCAGUGAAUGUUAAAACUAUAAUAUCCCAUUAUAAACUGGCAGCAGAUUUAUGUAAUAACUUCAAACCUUACAAAAAACAGCUUUAAAAAGCCAUUCUGUCUAAAAUAGUUAUAACAUUGUAUCUUUAAUGUAACUUCUUAAAAAGUUUUCCAAGUUGCCUAUAAUGUUAAUAGCUUUAAUUGUACAACUAUAAUAUCUGCUCAGUUCUUUAAAACCAGAAAAAAUAUUCUCCCCAAACCCUAUCCUCUGCCAAACUGUCUUGAUGCAUUUCCCUCCUUGUUCUUUUCAAACUUUAAAUUUCUGGGUUAUUGGGUUGGCGUCAAAGUUACAGAACUGACAUUUCGUUCUUAUUUUGCAGGUGAUGUAUGGAGAUAAGAUCAAUGUCUGACAGAUUUUGAAGCACAAAUGAAGGUAGAGCUGCUCCUUUACUCUGACCGCAUCUAAUAAAACAACGUAAACGGCUUUGUGGAGUGGACAUGUUAAUCUGCCAUCUUGAAAGUACUGUCAAGAGGAAAUAAGAUCUCUUCAAACAAAAUUGUGGUGCCUUGUAAUGAGUUGGUCAUUUGGCAGAUAUCUAACUUGGUAUGGUUGCCUGAAGAUUUAAAAAAAGAA